rnacentral:rRNA from 1 species
AAAUUGAAGAGUUUGAUCAUGGCUCAGAUUGAACGCUGGCGGCAGGCCUAACACAUGCAAGUCGAACGGUAACAGGAAGCAGCUUGCUGCUUCGCUGACGAGUGGCGGACGGGUGAGUAAUGUCUGGGAAACUGCCUGAUGGAGGGGGAUAACUACUGGAAACGGUAGCUAAUACCGCAUAAUGUCGCAAGACCAAAGAGGGGGACCUUCGGGCCUCUUGCCAUCGGAUGUGCCCAGAUGGGAUUAGCUUGUUGGUGGGGUAACGGCUCACCAAGGCGACGAUCCCUAGCUGGUCUGAGAGGAUGACCAGCCACACUGGAACUGAGACACGGUCCAGACUCCUACGGGAGGCAGCAGUGGGGAAUAUUGCACAAUGGGCGCAAGCCUGAUGCAGCCAUGCCGCGUGUAUGAAGAAGGCCUUCGGGUUGUAAAGUACUUUCAGCGGGGAGGAAGGGAGUAAAGUUAAUACCUUUGCUCAUUGACGUUACCCGCAGAAGAAGCACCGGCUAACUCCGUGCCAGCAGCCGCGGUAAUACGGAGGGUGCAAGCGUUAAUCGGAAUUACUGGGCGUAAAGCGCACGCAGGCGGUUUGUUAAGUCAGAUGUGAAAUCCCCGGGCUCAACCUGGGAACUGCAUCUGAUACUGGCAAGCUUGAGUCUCGUAGAGGGGGUAGAAUUCCGGUGUAGCGGUGAAAUGCGUAGAGAUCUGGAGGAAUACCGGUGGCGAAGGCGGCCCCCUGGACGAAGACUGACGCUCAGGUGCGAAAGCGUGGGGAGCAAACAGGAUUAGAUACCCUGGUAGUCCACGCCGUAAACGAUGUCGACUUGGAGGUUGUGCCCUUGAGGCGUGGCUUCCGGAGCUAACGCGUUAAGUCGACCGCCUGGGGAGUACGGCCGCAAGGUUAAAACUCAAAUGAAUUGACGGGGGCCCGCACAAGCGGUGGAGCAUGUGGUUUAAUUCGAUGCAACGCGAAGAACCUUACCUGGUCUUGACAUCCACAGAACUUUCCAGAGAUGGAUUGGUGCCUUCGGGAACUGUGAGACAGGUGCUGCAUGGCUGUCGUCAGCUCGUGUUGUGAAAUGUUGGGUUAAGUCCCGCAACGAGCGCAACCCUUAUCCUUUGUUGCCAGCGGUCCGGCCGGGAACUCAAAGGAGACUGCCAGUGAUAAACUGGAGGAAGGUGGGGAUGACGUCAAGUCAUCAUGGCCCUUACGACCAGGGCUACACACGUGCUACAAUGGCGCAUACAAAGAGAAGCGACCUCGCGAGAGCAAGCGGACCUCAUAAAGUGCGUCGUAGUCCGGAUUGGAGUCUGCAACUCGACUCCAUGAAGUCGGAAUCGCUAGUAAUCGUGGAUCAGAAUGCCACGGUGAAUACGUUCCCGGGCCUUGUACACACCGCCCGUCACACCAUGGGAGUGGGUUGCAAAAGAAGUAGGUAGCUUAACCUUCGGGAGGGCGCUUACCACUUUGUGAUUCAUGACUGGGGUGAAGUCGUAACAAGGUAACCGUAGGGGAACCUGCGGUUGGAUCACCUCCUUACCUUAAAGAAGC